GAGGAAUUUUGUUCUGAACGUGGCGGAAUGAGGAUUUUGGAGAGCUUGUAAUGACUGGAAAGGCUGGGGGGUAGGGGAGAGGGGCAUAGAUGAUAUGUCAUCUUUGGGGAAUCUCUGGAAGAAGCAUUAUGGGUGGAAAUAAGAGAGGAUGUGUAGCAGAAGUUAGAAAGAGCAGCAUUUUCUCACCUCAAAUUGUGUGUUAUGGAGGUAAAAUAGUCACCUGGGCUUUUUCAACUCGGUCUUCAACUGCUUGUGCUCAGCGUAGACUCGGAUUCCUGUUCCUGGCUGACGGGAGAGGAACCCAGUGUGGUCUCUUGCUUCUGUAGCUCAUCCGCCACAAGCUAACUGCUGCAGCAGGGAGAGGGAUGCAUAUAUAUAUAAAAUGAGGGCUGGCAAUAUGAGUGCAACUCUCAGCCCGCGUUGACACUAGCCCAAUUAUCCAGGCCUCCCAUUGUCACAGAGACAGGCAUGUUGUAGUGUGUUGGUGCCCGACCAUGCCAGUCUCGCUGUGAGGAACACAACAUCAGAGCCGAACUCAGGAUCUACAGGAUCGCACUGAAGCCUGCUGUGCUUGAUGGUCAAACUAAUCAAUGAAUAUUGACAAUGUCGCUGCGCGUUUCCUACCGAAGAGGAUUGUGGAUCCAUACUACGGCCGUGUUCUUCCUUUUACAUGUUUAAUAAGAUCGAUGUUUCUUAAUAGUAGUGGGCUGUCUUAUGUGUGUUCAGAUACGACUGAUCCUGAAGAAAUGUCUUAGGAAUGACGUGCUUGUUUUGUUUACUCAUUGUAACAUGAUGUCUUCCAUUUUUAAGCACGGCUACAGUAUUAUAAGCCGUGAUUUUACGAGUGUGAUGAGUGCCAGUGUUCAUGCUGUUUUAUAUUAGGUUAAUACUGGGUUUGAGAUCUGAAUAAGUAGUAGAAGUAGGUAUUAAAUCUCAAUUGAAAAAGGGUACAGUUCCACUUUGCUGAUGUGUUCAUGUACAUGAACAGUGAAGUUAAUGGCUUAUUAAUGUAUCUGGGUGUAAACAGAUGUAAUUGAACAUGUAUCUAAAGAGUAGUUUUCUUUGUGUGUCAUUUUGUAGAGAGGUUGGUUUUGUUGCAACAACAAUAUAUAUAAAAAAAUAAAUAACAGCAGCCAAAAAAAGAGGAAAAAUAAAGAGUUUUACCUGGAGGAUCUCUGACAAAGAUCUUCAAAACUGGUUCAAAGUUUGUCUGAUCGAUGGUCUUUCUCGCUCUCCUCAGUUAGCGAGUCUCCUUAGCGUGGGAUAAUUUUAUGUAUUUAUUUUAAACUGUAAUUUAUAUAGGAUUAAGCAGAUUAAACUAGCUGGGCUUCUUCUCCAAGAUGUAAUACUGAAUUUAUCUCAAAUGCUAUGUUAUCUGGUUUGAGGGGCAGAGUUCUGGUCCGUGGUAAGCACAUAGCAUCAGUAUAUCAUACGUCGGGUCGGCAUAUCGUCAGAAGAAAGUUCUCGUAGCAGGUUUUUGAACAUCGUCCUUUGCAACCGUUAAAUACCUCCAAUUGAAUGACCGUGUAUGCAAAUAAUACAUACAAAUAAACAUGUGCAUAUACAGUAUACAUAUGCUGGUGGUGUUCUCAGAGAAAGAAAGAGGGCACGACUUGCUGUCUUUUGAUUCAG
ensembl:lncRNA